rnacentral:misc_RNA from 1 species
GCGGAAAUCCUCGACCGCAUUCCAGCUGGCCGUUGGGGACUGCCGAGUGACCUGAUGGGGCCGGUAGUGUUCCUUGCCUCCAGCGCUUCAGAUUAUGUGAAUGGUUAUACCAUUGCCGUGGAUGGCGGUUGGCUGGCGCGUUAAUUCAUUCUUCUUACUUUUAUGACCCUGCCGCAUGGCAGGGUUUUUUAUAUCUGUAGAUCAUCAUAAUCCAUAUCAUGGUUAUGAAAUAAUC